CUUGGAUUCAGAAGGAGGUGUACGUGUUAUUCCCAGGGAAGAGUGGGUCAUGGUGACAUGAUCAGUGACAAGGCUGGGAUCCAUGGAGAAUGCCAGUUUCUCCCAGUGUGACUGGAAGUCGAUCUGAUCACUGAUGGCUGCACCAGCCCAUUGACAACUCAGCUGAUUCUCUGCUUGCUGGGAGGAAUUCUGAGACAGAGUUUCACUUUAUGGCCCUUGGUGAGUGCCAGGGCCUCACACAGCUCACAGCAACCUCCAACUCCUGGGCUCAAGCGAUUCUUCUGCUCAGCCUCCCGAGUAGCUGGGACUACAGGCGCCCGCCACAACGCCCGGCCAAGUGCACAAUAAAUGUAAUGCACAUGAAUCAUUCUGAAACCAUCCUCCUCUUCGUGAAAAAUUUGUCCUCUGUGAAACAGGUGUCUGGUGCCAAAAAUGCUGGGGACCACUGUUGUAAGCAGCAUCUCUGCACCUCUCUUCUUUCGUGGACAUAAUCUCCCUUUCUCUGAGUAUUUGUAAUUACUGUGGUUAUCACUCUGUACAGCACAUUAAACUGCACUGGGAAACUUAAAAAAUAUUGAUUCCUCAACUCUAUUCCACAUCAAUUAAAUAAGAACUCUUUCAGUUAGAGCCCUGAUUUCUCUUUCUUUUUUUAAGUUCCCUAGUCAAUCAAGUGUGUGACCAGGACUGA